CCGCCGGCAGCCCAUGACUCUUCUUCGCCGCUCGUCCGCGUCGCGAUUCAACGCGAAAGGUUGUCGCCUCGUUAGAGAUUGAUUUACUUUGGAAAAAUAACAAAGUCUUUUCUUAUCGUUAGCUACGUCGCUAUCGCGAACGAAGGGCUCGCAAGGGCUCGUGAAAUGAAUGACAGCGACUUCGUGGGAAUUUGUGAAGAUCGCUUAUACGAGCUAGGAUAACUUAUACAAUUCUUUAUUUGCGAUCACCUGUCAUCGCGUUACGUAUGAGUUUAUUCACGGCGGUGACAUUGGCAAUGUUGCUUCGAAUUUGUGUCAAGCAGAUGAAGAAAUUUAAUCAAAAAAUUUCAUCAUACACUGGAUUUUUUCGGAAAGGAUCACAUGUACACUUUGUAACAUGUCAUUGUGCAAUGUAGUCUUCUUGGCACAUACUUAAACGCAGGAGAUGAAUAAGCUUUAAUUGUUGAAAACAGUAGUGAGAAUUGUCGCUGAUUACGAGGCAAAUAAUGAACUUAUUAAAUUCGAUCGAAGCGCAAGCGUAUUUACUCGGAUAUUUAUCGUUAAAUGAACAAAACAUGUUUACGUCAGUGAGUGAGAACUGUGCCAGUUCGGGCUCGAUUUCUCAUUCUCUGUUAUUUACUUUAUAUUUAUAUAUUAUUUACUCAAUA
rnacentral:lncRNA from 13 species